ACUGCCUCUCUCUCUAAGGUGAAGGGAAUGUAAAUUAUAAUUCCUGGAUACAAAAUCAAACAGAAUUACUUAUCUCUUGAAAUCCCCACUGAUGUGGCCACUGCAGUUAAGCAACCAACCUGCUGCCUUAUUAUUCCAGUGACAUACUGCUGCAGGAGAAACUCCCAGGCACGGCAAUAAAACAGCAAAAAUGCAGGAGAUGGCUCAAGAUUUCCCUCCUCUCCCUCUCCCAGGGCUGGGACAAGGCACUGGAGGAUUCAGUGGAUCAUAAACUGCAAACAUGAAAUACAGCAGGGGAGCUGCAGCCUGGAAACACAAACCAACCCUCCCUGGGAGAGCUCAGUCUCAUUUUCAAUGCCACAUGCAAAAAAAAUAAACCAAAACACCCAAAAAACCAAAACAACUCCAAAUGCUUGGAGAGAUGAGGGAGGGAGCACCAGGGUAAUUCCCAACCUUUCUUAUGGAUGCAGAACUCUACCCAUACAAAUGAGACUCUGCACCAAAACUUCUUGGAUUGUUGCAGCAGAGCUUGAGGCACAAAAAUACCCAUCAGAGGGACAGAGAGACUAAAUUUAUCCCCCAGGACAGCCUGGCCAUGUAAACCCAGCUCAGGAAAUCACACAGCAUCCACAAAUUCCCUCGCAGAGAAUCAGAACCAGGGAAGGAGACAGCCUCAAGUACUGAUGUUGUGUAACAACAAAUGUUUCUAUGGAGACUUCCCAGCCCUCUCAGAGGAAGGCAGAAAUGCUGCUUCUUUCCUGCUCUGAGCAAAUUGUGGAUGGAGUCUGGAGGGGCUGGCUCCUCUCCUGUCAGCCCAGAGAUGGAGCAGCCAUGGGGACACAUUGGAGUUUCUGAGGGGGAAAACCUGGUGUGAACACCCUGCACCACUCCCAAAAUCAGUCAUGGCAAUCACAGCAGGCUCUGUCAGAGGAGUCUGGGGCCCUGGCAGGGAGAAUAUUCAAUUCUGGGUGUAAUUCCCUCUCACCAUACCACAAAUACAGCCCAAAAUGAGUGUCAGCUCCUUCUGCACAUCCUUCCUUUAUUAGGAGCAAAACUCUUCAAUUUGAUGGAUCAGUGGUGGUGGGUGGGUGAAAAACUCCUAAAUGACUGAAAGUUCUUAUUCACAGCCCCCCAAACAAAGCAGAUGAGCAAUGAGAGCUCAGUUAUUACAAAUCAAAUGUGUUUGCAGCAGAUUUUCCUCUGUACAGAGUGGCCACCUUGCACUCACACAAACCAUGAUGUGGCUCCUCACUCCCUCUAACCCUCUGAUUGAGGAA